AGAAGGACCACUCACUCCUGGUGAUCCUGGUAAACCAGCUGCUCCUGUAAGGCCUCUGUCCCCUGGUGGUCCUACAUGAGCAGCAACAGUUACAGGUGCAACUAAGCAGAUUACCUACCCAAAAGAGGUGCAACAUUUUGACAUUUCAACCAGAAAGUGUGUAGGAAGAAAGCCAACAGGAUCAUCAAAGACUCCAGUCACCCCAACCACAAACUGUUUCUGCCUGCUGCCAUCUGUCAGACGAUACGCAGCAUCUGGUACCACACCACCGGACUCAGGGACAUCUUCAUCGCACAGGCCAUGAGCCUUUUGAAAUCUUAAGCCCUCAGGCUCAUUACUGUCGCUUUACUCACAUUGCACUGGCACACUUUACCUAUACACUAAUUGUGUUUAUCAUUAAAGUGAUAUCAUGGGUGAA